GAUGAACGCUAGCGGCAGGCUUAAUACAUGCAAGUCGAGGGGCAGCAUGAGUGUAGCAAUACAUUUGAUGGCGACCGGCAAACGGGUGCGGAACACGUACACAACCUUCCUAUAAGUGGGGAAUAGCCCAGAGAAAUUUGGAUUAAUACCCCGUAACAUAAUGAUGUGGCAUCACAUUAUUAUUAUAGCUACGGCGCUUAUUGAUGGGUGUGCGGCUGAUUAGAUAGUUGGCGGGGUAACGGCCCACCAAGUCUACGAUCAGUAGCUGAUGUGAGAGCAUGAUCAGCCACACGGGCACUGAGACACGGGCCCGACUCCUACGGGAGGCAGCAGUAAGGAAUAUUGGUCAAUGGACGCAAGUCUGAACCAGCCAUGCCGCGUGAAGGAUUAAGGUCCUCUGGAUUGUAAACUUCUUUUAUCUGGGACGAAAAAAGGCGAUUCUUCGUCACUUGACGGUACCAGAUGAAUAAGCACCGGCUAACUCCGUGCCAGCCGCCGCCGUAACAC
rnacentral:rRNA from 1 species